rnacentral:piRNA from 1 species
UACUACUACGUCGCCGAGUACAAG